rnacentral:rRNA from 1 species
UAGGGAAUCUUCGGCAAUGGGGGGUACCCUGACCGAGCAACGCCGCGUGAGUGAAGAAGGUUUUCGGAUCGUAAAGCUCUGUUGUUAAGGAAGAACGAGUGUGAGAAUGGAAAGUUCAUGCUGUGACGGUACUUAACCAGAAAGGGACGGCUAACUACGUGCCAGCAGCCGCGGUAAUACGUAGGUCCCGAGCGUUGUCCGGAUUUAUUGGGCGUAAAGCGAGCGCAGGCGGUCAAUUAAGUCUGAUGUGAAAGCCCCCGGCUCAACCGGGGAGGGUCAUUGGAAACUGGUUGACUUGAGUGCAGAAGAGGAGAGUGGAAUUCCAUGUGUAGCGGUGAAAUGCGUAGAUAUAUGGAGGAACACCAGUGGCGAAGGCGACUCUCUGGUCUGUAACUGACGCUGAGGCUCGAAAGCGUGGGUAGCAAACAGG